UACAGAGGUCCCAAGCGUUGUUCGGAUUCACUGGGCGUAAAGGGUGCGCAGGUGGGUUUGCAAGUUCGAUGUGAAAGCCCCCGGGCUUAACCCGGGAAUGGCAUUGGAUACUGCAGAUCUGGAGGAUCGGAGGGGGGACUGGAAUUCUUGGUGUAGCAGUGAAAUGCGUAGAUAUCAAGAGGAACACCAGUGGCGAAGGCGAGUCCCUGGACGAUACCUGACACUGAGGCACGAAAGCUAGGGGAGCAAACAGG
rnacentral:rRNA from 1 species